CCUUUGGUGAGGGAUUUUCAUCUACCUCUUUUUUUGUAUGUAGCCACCGAAUGUUUUAACAAAUCUUAUCUCUGAUUGCAGCUAAAAGAAAGCUGACUAGGUCUUCCUGGCAAGGCAGCUAAUCACAUGACGAGUUUGGAUGAUGAUGAUAGUCGUUUAAUUUUACUGCCUGCUUGGUAUUUGUUUAUGCAUACGAACAACUCUGAUUAUGAUUGCUGCAUUGCAUAAGGUUGCUUCCUUCUGAUGAUAAAUGUCGAAUGACUAUGGUAGUUUUUUUUGGCUUCACUACAUAAGGUUGCCUGUGCCUGGCUCAGACCCAUAUGUGACUCCAAUAUCUUCCUUUCUGCUCCAUAAAAGGUUCUGGUAUGUCUCAAUUCAUUCUCAGGGCAUUCAUGUCUGGUUUGUGAGGUCUGCUAAGUUUAACUCUUGCACUGCAAGAUAGGUUUCCAUCAAUUAUUACUUUUGAAUGACAACAAGUUCAGAAAUUGUUGCUCUGUAGUGAUAGUACUCUUAGAUUAUUUUAGUCUUAUUGGUUUGGAUGCUGGAAAUAUUUGUUUGUGUAAAUAAUGGUGCCUCACAACAUUUGGAUUUUAAAUUCUUAGAUUGUUUGCUAUGAUAAGGAAGUAGUCAUGUAUACAUAUACUAAUGUAGCAGUUUACCUUACUGCUUUCGGGCCAGUCGGGGGAGCUCAUGGCAGGGUCAGCAGCUUCAACUGCACCAAUGCAACUGUAUGUCUCUUUAGAAUAUGUACUCAGCUCAAAAUAAAAAUCUCAAGUGUAUAUGUUCUUGAGACAUGACAUACAUGAACACUCACAUGAUGGCUGCAAUCCCAUUAUUAACCACAUGCUUCUAUUUCUCUCUGAAUUCGUAUUUUAAACAUGGUGAAUUUCUGGGAAUGUGGUUUCAUGUAUAUCUAUGAAUACAUACAUGGUCAAUAAGUUUGCUUGGUAAAACAUAAGAAUUCAGGUUCACAUAAGCACCCACUUUUAUGUUGGCUACAUAUUAGUUACACUAAUGCACUACUCGAGCUUUGCUUUCCUUGUAUGGAAGUUUCAUCCGUUAACUCUGUUUCUUUUUACUCCAUUUUGUUCCUACAGGUCAUAAACCAUCCCCUUCCUGCCAUCAAUACCCUGGGCAUUGUUUGUACAGAAGUACCCAGUGCUACCUUAUUCAUAUUUAAUUGUAGCUCAUCUUUUCCAUGAAUUUGUUAGUAGAAUUUAUGUUCUGUUGCGAAGUGGCAUAUAUAAUUUGAUAUUUCUCCAGGAAAGAUAUCAUGAAGUGUGUUUGUCAUUCUGUAUAUUAACCGAGGGAGGAUCCUGCUGCUAACUGGCCUAAGAAAAUCCCUUGUUAAAAAUAUUAGUAAUGGGAGUUUGUGGCGGGAGGGGUGUUAUUUUAACAUCGUUAGUAGUUCCAUUUUUGGUCUCCUGUGUUUGAAACCAUCUUUACCUGCAGCCCCCUGUUUGGUUUUUUAGAUGGACUUUUCUUACCUAACAAGGCGGUAGGAUAAUUAGAAACAUUCAUUCUCUAAUAUAACACAUAUAUAAAAAGUUUCUAUAUGGUUCAAGCUUGCCCGGAUCUUUAUUUUGGUACAAACCUUCCUGCAUUUCGAGGUUAUGAUAACUGUGAUGCCAUUUAAUCAUGUGAAUACUGCUCUGCCUUGCAUAAUUGCCUCAUAUACUAUUCCUAAUGAGUGAAUGCUUUUUCCAGCCGGUAGAAUUACUAAGUUCUAUUGGUUAAUCUUGGUAUCACCACUAUACCAGUUUUUCAUGUGCAUCACUAUCCUACCAGUUAGUGUAUUGCUUUGAUAUUGAUAAUUCCUUGUGUUUUUAUGCUCACAGCAAUACUCUUGGUCUAAAUUUAACUUUUACCAGGGUUCAGGUGGUAAGCACAUUGACAGGAUCGACGAUCGACAACCCGAUCUAUCUCACUGAUGUUGAAGGUACACAUAUAUACAUUGGGUAGUAAACUCCGCUGCCUCUGAGUUGUAUAGGUAAUUUCAUGCUUUCCAUGACAAUUGGUUUGGUUAUUCAGGUAGAGGCCCAGAGGUUAAGAUUAUGUGCAGUGAACCAUGCCUUUGUGAGAGGACCCAGACAAGAGGUAGCAUAUUCUGUUGUGACAACUUAUAAUUAUCAUCAGAGUUUCUUGGCAAUAUUCGUCAUAAUACAAUAUAUAUGAAUCAUGUCUAAAUUUCACAUUAUAAUCAAUGCACAGGACCGCAUGUCGAGUAUCCGCCCUAAAAGUGUGGAGUGCAUCCGCCGUAAACAGCUACAUUGGUCUCCACCCGGUAAGAUUGAUGGUGUAGUUCUGUGCCUUCCUCUGCUUCUCUUAGUUUAAGGAAAUGCCUAUUUAAGUAUGAAAGGUGAAUUUUAUUUUGAGAGACAUCAAUAAGAAAUAAGAUGUGAUCCUCAACUAUUCUCCGUGCAAUUUAGCAUUAUCUAAAACCUACACUGUCCAUUUCCUGGAAUUAUUCAAGAGAUCUUAGGUUAGUGUCUUAGGCUUUGGCUCAAGGUUCAUGUUGGUAUGUGGUAACAAAUUAGGUGCCAACCUGGGACAUUAGGAAAUUUUCAUUCAUAGACAAGAUCUAUGAGAUUGGUGCCUUUAUUACUGAUUUUGUGCAGUGAUCUGGUUUGGAUUUCCUCUCUUGACUUGCUCUUCUUAUGUAGUUCAAUGUUGCAUCACUCGGUUCGUUUGCUUGCUUCCUUUGCUCGGUUCAGGAGGCAGACAGGGAGAAGGUUAGGGCCAGUUACAAGAACCUCAGGGUCUUGCGUCAUGGCUGUAUCCAUGCAUGUGUUGAAAGCAUUGAGCUUAGUUUAUAUAUGUAGACGCAAUUUCCUUUUCGUGUAUAAGAUAAUUGGUUUAUAUAUAGACUAUCCAUGAUGGAAGUUGAAAUUACUGUGAUAAUUGAUUUAUCUGCUAUUUUUUAUAUUUGCAAUGCUUGCCGGGUUGGAUAUGAUUAUACCCGGUAGCGGUGUGCUGCCAGGUGCGGCAAGCCGCACUUCCUACCUAGUACAUAUGGUUAUACCAAACAUUUUUCGCUAUUUAUGAUUUAUUCAGUCAACGUAAGAUAUUAAUUAGUAUAUGUACCAUUAUGUUUGACACA
rnacentral:lncRNA from 1 species